CACAGUGAAAUCUCAGUUAAACUGAAGUGUUAUUGAUGUUACAGAGCUGUCUGUCAACGUCUGUUAUAAAAGUUGUCAUCACUACCGCAUUGCAUUGUGGGAUAUUUAUGCCACCGUAGCGUCCAGCAUUGCAUACAGUAAUAUGUCAACAGAAAUAGUAUGCAAGUCACAUACUACUGGUUUCAUACUAAGGUUUCAGACAUGCUAAAAAAUCUCACAUACUGUUUUAGCAUACUAAAUAGCAUGUUAGUGUGGAAUUUUGGAAGCAACCUGGCCGUAGUUCCCCUUUAAGCACUAUUCAACAAGAAUUACGACA